AUCCCUUAUCAAGAAUUGAUAUUUAUUUUAUUAGUUAUAAGGGGCACAAGUCUGCUCAAAAAUUGAUCUCUACUCUAGCUACCACCACUAAAGAUAAAGCUCAAGGAUGUGCCUAAGAAAGCUUUCAAAACUAGAUAUGGAUAUUGUGAAUUUCUAGUCAUACCUUUGGUUUGAUGAUUGCACUUGCAACUUUUAUGGAUCUCAUGAACUGAAUAUUCAAAUCCUAUCU
rnacentral:lncRNA from 1 species